GUAACGCGUAUGUAACCUGCCUGUAAUUAGGGGAUAGCUCGGUGAAAGUCGAAUUAAUACCCUAUAUUCUAUUUUAUCCGCAUGGGUUUUAUAGGAAAGAUUUAUUGAUUACAGAUGGGCAUGCGUUCCAUUAGCUUGUUGGUGAGGUAACGGCUCACCAAGGCAACGAUGGAUAGGGGGACUGAGAGGUUGACCCCCCACACUGGUACUGAGACACGGACCACACUCCUACGGGAGGCAGCAGUGAAGAAUAUUGGUCAAUGGGCGGAAGCCUGAACCAGCCACGUCGUGUAAAAGAACACGCUCCUAUGGAUUGUAAACUUCUUUUGGAGAGGAAUAAUGGCGUCCACGUGU
rnacentral:rRNA from 1 species